CUUCAAUUGCGUUUCAGAUAUUCACAAAGUCUAUCCACCUUUGUAAUUAACACAUUAUGUGUUUCUUAUACCAUUAAUUAUAGUAUCUGUAUUAUAUUACACAUUGUCACUGACACAUUUCUGAUACAGGGAAAAAAAUAGCAUGAUUGCUUUAGUAGUUAUAAUUUUUCUGUCCAUGCACCACAUUCCUGGAAGUCCAGAAUAUAGCAAGAAUCCUUUGUCGUUUUAUUCUAUGGAGCCAUUUAACGUUUUGAUUGGUAU